ensembl:lncRNA
AAGCCAGGUGCAUCCCAGAAGGCCAUGCUGUGAGCCAGGAUUCGUUCUCAUCUAAUACAUCCUCACUGGUACCUGCUCUGUGCCAGGCACCGUGAUAUACCCAGGGAUAUAUAAAGAUCAACGAGACAUGGCCUGAGGAGCUCCUGGCCUGGAAAAGGAGACAGAUCCAUGCAGGAAUUGCAGUAAGACCGGGAAGAGAGACCCUGAGUCAUCAGGGGCCCCGGAACCCAGAGGAGUGGGGCUGGUGGAGCCGGGGAGAGAAGGUUUCUCAGAGACUGAAGGAGGCUUGAGGAGAACCUCCCAAGUCAAAGGCAGCUUCGAGCAGAGGUGUCCCCGCCGCUGGUUGAAACCUCACGAUGCUCUCCAGCUCCCGGCAGCCUGUUCCGUCUCGUCCUACAGAGCGGCUCCACUGCCUGGGAGGGUCCGGCGAAGCCUCCACCGCGUCCCUGUGCUGCCCCUUGUCAGCCAAGAGAGAUGCCAGCCUCAUCCCCAGCCUGAAAGCCCAGUUGGGGCCCAGGAAGAUGAAUUAUGUUUCAUUUAUAUCAAAGAAGCAAUCUCGGAGCCCAUUUGUGAUCAAAUUUGCUGUCAGAGAAACUUUGCUUUAUCUCAUUACAUCUGAUAUCUCUUGGCUUCUUGUCCUUGAGACUAUUAAAGCUUAAUGUCAAAUUCAAGAUGAAAUGAAAUCUUUGCUGUAUCAUCUCAUCAGGACCCGAGCAUUCCCCCUUCUAUCUAAAAUUUUUUGACAACUAAUUACAAUGGGAGGUGGGGCGAGGGAAAGAGAAAGACCUACUUCCCUCCCAUUUGUUGAAAAUACCAUCAUUUGAAGGGGUUUCCAAUGAGGAUAGUGGUUACGUGGUGGUGCAGAAUGGGAGAGCUGCUUGUCACCAUUCAACUCCUCUGUGUCCCGUCACCCCAAACUCACCAUCCCAGGGACCAACGGCAUCCGUUUUCAUCCCUGUUCAGACAAGGCAUUCCUGCCCAGGGCACACAGUGGAGGAGGAAGCACACUGGACCAGGAGGUGGGUCAGCACUCGAUUCCAGGCUCUGCCAGCUACAUGACCAUUGGCAAGUCACCACCCUGCUCUGGGCCUCAGUUCCCCCCACUGUAAAAUGAGGCAGUUAACUAGAAUCAUGUAACUCCGUUUAGGGACCAGGAAGGAAAUUAGAUGACUGAACAGCGGUGUGUUAAACAACAGGGGUAGGGCACAGCCGCCAAGAGAAGAGUAAAAAAAUGAAACAAACACCAGAAAGUCAUGUCUGCAGGCCUUAUUUAUCACGACAACUCUGAGACGAGUUGAUUUCUGAGGCUUAUGAUGGCCUCUAACGAAGAAAAGUACCCACGGAAAGCAGGCUUUAGACUGGGAAUGUGCUUUCCCUGGAAUAGAGUUGGGAUGUUGAUCAAUAACACUGAUUGAAAUCUACCUGCACAACACAGGGCAGUCAGGAGGCCCAGGGACACACAGAUCAGAACUAAAAAGCAAUGUGCUAAAAAAAAAGCAAGGCGGCGGAGCUACCGGCAGGUGACAUAGUGGUUAAGUUCACGGGCUCCACUUCAGAGGCCCAGGGUUCAUGGGUUCAAAUUCUGGGUGCAGACCUACACACUGCUCAUCAAGCCAUGCUGUGGUGGCGUCCCACAUACAAAACAGAGGAAGAUUGGCACAGAUGUUAGCUCAGAGACAAU